UACGAAGGGGGCUAGCGUUGCUCGGAAUCACUGGGCGUAAAGCGCACGUAGGCGGCUUUCUAAGUCGGGGGUGAAAUCCUGGAGCUCAACUCCAGAACUGCCUUCGAUACUGGGAAUCUUGAGUCCGGGAGAGGUGAGUGGAACUGCGAGUGUAGAGGUGAAAUUCGUAGAUAUUCGCAAGAACACCAGUGGCGAAGGCGGCUCACUGGCCCGGUACUGACGCUGAGGUGCGAAAGCGUGGGGAGCAAACAGG
rnacentral:rRNA from 1 species